AGUCGAACGCUUUUUCUUUCCCGGAGCUUGCUCCACCGAAAGGAAAAGAGUGGCGAACGGGUGAGUAACACGUGGGUAACCUGCCCAUCAGAAGGGGAUAACACUUGGAAACAGGUGCUAAUACCGUAUAACACUAUUUUCCGCAUGGAAGAAAGUUGAAAGGCGCUUUUGCGUCACUGAUGGAUGGACCCGCGGUGCAUUAGCUAGUUGGUGAGGUAACGGCUCACCAAGGCCACGAUGCAUAGCCGACCUGAGAGGGUGAUCGGCCACACUGGGACUGAGACACGGCCCAGACUCCUACGGGAGGCAGCAGUAGGGAAUCUUCGGCAAUGGACGAAAGUCUGACCGAGCAACGCCGCGUGAGUGAAGAAGGUUUUCGGAUCGUAAAACUCUGUUGUUAGAGAAGAACAAGGAUGAGAGUAGAACGUUCAUCCCUUGACGGUAUCUAACCAGAAAGCCACGGCUAACUACGUGCCAGCAGCCGCGGUAAUACGUAGGUGGCAAGCGUUGUCCGGAUUUAUUGGGCGUAAAGCGAGCGCAGGCGGUUUCUUAAGUCUGAUGUGAAAGCCCCCGGCUCAACCGGGGAGGGUCAUUGGAAACUGGGAGACUUGAGUGCAAAGAGGAGAGUGGAAUUCCCUGUGUAGCGGUGAAAUGCGUAGAUAUAUGGAGGAACACCAGUGGCGAAAGCGGCUCUCUGGUCUGUAACUGACGCUGAAGCUCAAAGCGUGGGGAGCGAACAAGAUUAGAUACCCUGGUGGUCCACCCCGUAAACCAUAAGUGCUUAAUGUUGGA
rnacentral:rRNA from 1 species